rnacentral:rRNA from 1 species
AAUGAACGUUGGCGGCAUGGAUUAGGCAUGCAAGUCGGGGGAAUCCCAGCAAUGGGGGAACCGGCGUAAGGGGCAGUAAGGCAUGGGUACCUACCUUGGGGUUCGGGAUAGCCAUCAGAGAUGGUGGGUAAUACCGGAUGACGUCGUGAGACCAAAGAUUUAUCGCCCUUAGAGGGGCCCAUGUGAUAUUAGCUAGUUGGUGGGGUAACGGCCCACCAAGGCGAAGAUGUCUAGCGGGUGUGAGAGCACGACCCGCGCCACUCGCACUGAGACACUGGCGAGACACCUACGGGUGGCUGCAGUCGAGGAUCUUCGGCAAUGAGCGCAAGCUUGACCGAGCGAUGCCGCGUGAGCGAUGAAGGCCUUCGGGUUGUAAAGCUCUUUAGUGGGGGGAGAAAAGCCGCAAGGUGUGAUCUAUCCCAAAAAUAAGCACGGGCUAAGUUCGUGCCAGCAGCCGCCGUAA